UAAUAAUCAUCCAGAAAGUUCUCCCGCUGUAGUAAAUCUCAUUAGACAACAAUCAGAACUCAUAUCUUCUGAAAAAUGGCAGAAUUGUAUUCGGCAUGUUAUAAAAGUUGAAUCAACAUUUGUAAAUACACGGCCUAAAGAAAUUAUAAUUUCAAUAAAUAACGACUCAUCUGAGUCUGAAAGUGACUUAUAAUCCUAUUAUUUAACUAAUACAAUUUGUCUAUUAUUUCACCUUAUUUUUUUUAACAGAGUACGGCCCUGAAAAAUUCUGGUCGCAUAGGGUGUUAAAAGCAAUAAAUUACUGUUGCCAUUGUGCAGGGGUUUCACUCAUUAUCUCUCAUAAAGUUUAUGUGGAUGUAUCUCGAAUGAAAUUUGUAUAAACUCAAAUCCAUAAGGUUGUAACCACUCCCUAGUGUAAAUUUUUAAAAAUUAUUCAGUGUAAAUCUGUCUUUUAAUAACCUGGUGACAUAUUUGGUGACCUGUCAAUAUAAUGUCAGUUCAUUCAUGUAUUCGCGACACAUGAUUACGUUCGACUUCACUGCAAUUCUUGCACUCCUGCACAGGUUAUUUCAUAAUUAUCAUUGUAACUUGUCGCAAUAUUGUAAAAACUGAUAAACAAUUUUCAAUAAAAACAGGAUAACCUGAGUCUUCAUGGUAAUUAUAAUACAAGAGCAACGAUAAAUAGAAACGUGUUUUAUCUUUCAUCUGUAGAAAGAAUGCCACCUGCUGUAAUUUAGACUUGCAGUCGAUACGUUUACGAAUUACGAUAAAAUGAACCCAAAAAUAUUGUGGUCACGAAUGAAAUCAAAUAUUGGGCUGGUAAAAAAACAAGAUGGGGAAUAACUGAGAUAUUCAGAAUUUGUUUAAAUUAUUGUACAUGAGUAUACGUGAUAAUUAUAUGUGUGGCUAACUAUGACUCGAAGGAUCAGCUCUCUCGACUGAAAUGAUCAAUCUCGCGAGCAACACCAAAAUUGUCUAUAAUGGGUAGAUCACCUUAAUUAGUUGCAAUGGAUGACCAAUUUUUCAUCAAAAAAAUGGGACACCAACAAGUCUUUAAUGUUAUGUUUAAUAACUCUAAUAUUUGGUACUACUUAUUAUUUACAAAAUGUACAAGGGAUUUGGUUGAAGGCGAUAGGUCUGGCUAUGCUCCUCCGUCCUGACGAUUUUAGUGGUAAUAAUGAACAAAAUGUAACUUCACAAAAUUCAGAGGCUAAAAUAAUAGGUAUGUUGAAAAUAAUUUGACGGCUUAUUUAAACUUACUGUUACAGGAGUGGUUAGAAACAUUGGGAACACAUAGACCAAAUAACCAAAAAGCAAUUAUUUUUCUGUUGUUAACUUUCUUAAAUCUGAAUCCCAUGGAUUUUAAUACUCAACGUAAAGUAUUUAAACUUGCUGUAUAUUCUGGAUGUUCUUUCGCAAAAAUAAACAAAUCCUGAAGAGUAAAAAACUCA